CCUACGGGUGGCUGCAGUGGGGAAUAUUGCGCAAUGGGCGAAAGCCUGACGCAGCGACGCCGCGUGAGGGAUGAAGGUCUUCGGAUCGUAAACCUCUGUCAGCAGGGAAGAACGGUCACUGUGCUAAUCAGCAGUUAAUUUACGGUACCUUAGUAAGAAGCCCCGGCUAACUACGUGCCAGCAGCCGCGGUAAUACGUAGGGGGCAAGCGUUAUCCGGAUUUACUGGGUGUAAAGGGAGCGUAGACGGCAGUGCAAGUCUGGAGUGAAAGGCGGGGGCUCAACCCCCGGACUGCUCUGGAAACUGGACGGCUGGAGUGCAGGAGAGGUAAGUGGAAUUCCUAGUGUAGCGGUGAAAUGCGUAGAUAUUAGGAGGAACACCAGUGGCGAAGGCGGCUUACUGGACUGUAACUGACGUUGAGGCUCGAAAGCGUGGGGAGCAAACAGGAUUAGAUACCCCUGUAGUC
rnacentral:rRNA from 1 species